GGGAAUUUUGGGCAAUGGGCGAAAGCCUGACCCAGCAACGCCGCGUGAGGGAUGAAGUAUUUCGGUAUGUAAACCUCGAAAGAAUGGGAAGAAUAAAUGACGGUACCAUUUAUAGGCUCCGGCUAACUACGUGCCAGCAGCCUCGGUAAUACGUAGGGAGCAAGCGUUGUUCGGUUUUACUGGGUGUAAAGGGCGCGCAGGCGGGAUAAAAAGUCAGUGGUGAAAUCCUACAGCUUAACUGUAGAACUGCCUUUGAUACUUUUAUUCUUGAGUUCGGGAGAGAGAGACGGAAAUCCAGGUGUAGUGGUGAAAUACGUAGAGAUCUGGAAGAAAACCAGUUGCGAAGGCGGUCUCUAGGUCCGACACUGACGCU
rnacentral:rRNA from 1 species